AUUUUAGAUUUUUUUGAGCCCUUGUGGUCCAUUUUAGGAUUUGAUCCCUUCUUUGUCUAUUCCUUCUCUUGACCUGUCUUCUUGCUGGACGCCAUCGGAGCUUCUCGGCGUAGUGGUAGAAGAGGCAGAGGAGAUUGAUGGAGGAGGAGUUAGCAGAGGUGGUGGUGGCUCGUGACUCGUGUGCAGAACCGGCUUGAAGGGUGAAGAA